rnacentral:lncRNA from 1 species
UAGAAUCCCAAAUCCUACUGAAACUUUCGGUUAUUGCUCCUUCAUCCCUUUAUGUUCGUAAUCAAACUCCGUUGCGUCUCUUCGUUGUGUCCGUUCAUCUUGUUUCUUUAGUUUUUUGGUCUUCGUCUUCAUCUUUUCAAUAAAAGAUUCUUAAACAUACAUCUAGUUCGAUGAUUCAAGAAUUUUGGGUUGACCGAAAAAAAUACAGAGACGAAGAACGCAGCCUCAAAAUCAUGUCUAAAAUCAAUGAAGAUGAACUGCACGAGUUCAAGAUUGGGUUCUUGUACAACUCUUGACCGCCAUGGAAGCGUUACACGACGAGAUUUUUCUAUAAUAUUUACUUUCGAACUUCCAUAAAGAAAUUCUUUUUGGAUCAUGAAUUCAAUAGGGUUUUUCAUUCAGCAAAACCUAGGAUUUAAUGAGUCUGAUGUUUCAGAGGUGUCACCAUGUAAGCGUUACGUACAUUACAAGAAACUCUUGGGAAGAGGGGCAUUCAAAGACGUCUACGGAGGUUUCGAUCGGGCUAGUAAUACAG